rnacentral:lncRNA from 1 species
UGUUCUUUGACCAUGUCUCACAUCCAGGUAAUGCUGAUGCAAGAAGUGGGUUCCCAUGGCCUUGAGCAGCUCCAUCUCUGUGACUUUGCCAAGUACAGCUCUCCUCCUGGCUGCUUCCAUGGGCUGGCACUGAGUGUCUGCAGCUUUUCCAAGUACACAGUACAGCUGUCAGUGGAUCUACCAUUCUGGGGUCUGGAGGAUGGUGGUCCUCUUAUCACAACUCCACUAGGCAGCACUCCAGUGGGAACUCUGUGUGGGGGUGUUUCUAAUUUUGGAUCUAAGAUUACCAAGCUCCACAUGAUGAUGAUAAAUUACAUAUACUGGGAAACCUAAUUGGGAAAAUCUAAAAGGAGAACUGAAGAAGAGUUUGCAAAUUGCAAAGCACUUAGAAAAAUAUGCUACUGAAGGUAAUCAACUCUUUGUAAGUCUAUUUACAUGAAGAAGAGUUCUUACAUAUAACUAAUCAAGAAUCUACUUAUGUAUCACUGGUAUAAUCAAAGGCUAUUUACCUAAUAUUCUUUGUAAAUUUUUAUAUUAUCUUAAUACUAAUCGUUGCUUUAUUAUGUAUAUUUUGUUGAAAUUGUUGAUUAUGUAGAAAAUUAAGAACAGCUCAGAGAGAAAUUAGCACUGCAAUGUAAAUUUAUAGAAAAUAUAAAACUAUAAAUUGAUAUCAAAAGGAAGAAUAAUUGUGUGGAAAAUGAGCUUAAUCUAAUCUUACUGAGGAAUUGCAAAGGAAGUGACAAAACAUGUGCUAGGUACACUGUCAGGGGCAACCAUAGGAGGUACUAUUGAAGAAUUUUGAAGAACACAAGGUGAGAAAUAAUGAAUUGUCAAUAACAGGAUAAUAGAAUAAAGUCAAUAUAACUACAAAUAUAAAUCGAAUGUCUGUUGAUUGUUUCCUAAAAGUAGGAUUAUGUCUUACAGCUGUAGCUUUAAUUCCAUAUCCAUUGAGCUGGAAAAUGUAGGCUUGUAGCCAGUUUUUUACUGUAAUAGUUUGCUAAGGCUACCAUAACAAAGUACCACGAAUUUGGUUAAUGAGAACAAUCAAAAUUUAUCUUACAGAAAUGAGCCGAAAGGACAUGAGCUCUGAUAGAGAAUUUGUUCCAUUUCUCUCUCUCAGCUUCUGAACGUUUGUUGACAAUCUUUGGCGUUCAUUGCUUUGUAGGUGCAUCAACCUCAUCUCUGCUUUCAUGUUUACAUGAUGUUUUGCCUGUGUUUGUCUCUGUGACCAAAUUUAUCCUCUGCAUGAGGACACCAGUCAUCUUCUAGAUAUUUAAUCAAGAGAAAUGAAAGCAUUGUCUGUAUACAAACUACAUAGACCUACUUCACUUAUUAUACUUGCUAUAUUCGUAAUUGCACAAAACUGGAAACAACCCACAUGUAUAUACAUACACUCAUACACAGACAUAAGCACAAUGGGGAGUACUGUUUAAUGAAAAUGAAUUAACUAUUAUUACAUGCUACAAUGUGAAUGAAUCUCAGAAUAAUUAUGCUGAAUGAAAGAAACCAGACACAAAGGUGAUUU